AUGUACACUGGUUCCAACCCCACCUCAGAUAAAAGGAACUCGGAUUUGCGUUGUAGCAUACCACCUGAACGUGUUCUUCAAGUAGUCCACUUUGUCGGCGAUCUUCUCCUCAUUGAGAAACGCAACAGCCUGCAGCGCUUGCCUGAGCAUCCCAGACCCACGGGGCAUGCCCAAUCUUUCAGCACAUGCCACCAUCGCCCGGACCCUCUCCGGGUUGGUGGUGAGCAUCCUCGACACACGGACACACAGCUUGGCAAUAUCACAAUCACCUAG
rnacentral:rRNA from 1 species